CUUUUUCCAAGCAGGAUAGGCAGUCCUACAGGCCAGUAACUAGCUCAGACUAAGCGCCUUCCAAGUUUACUUUCACUGGGCUUCCUAAAGAACCACAAUCUGGGCUGGACGAAGGACCACACAGCCCAUCCUAGCAGACCUGAUCAGGAUUUUAAGUUGGGGAGUGCGUUUUGGCUGUAAAUGCUGAUCAUUGCUCCUGGAUCUGCCUGGAGGGAGAAUGCCCCCCAGCUUUCUGCUGAACGGAAUCAGGAAAAGGAAGAACCUAAGGAUCAAGAAAUCUGGAACUGGGCAGACCUGCACAAACUAUGGAGGAGAUAUUCCCUUCCCUCACUUCCUCAUUUCUCUGCCAUUUGAUCAGAGUCCUUUAAUUAAAGGGAGUUUUCUUGGCCUUUGGGACAAAAAAAAAAAAGAGAGAGAAACGGGGAGUACAGGCAUUGUCCAUGAAACUUCUCCAUUUCUAGGCAUCCCGUGUGGAGCAAUGCUUGGGAGAAAAGAGAGAAGUGAAAAAGCAGUGGACCAUCACAUCUGAGGAUCAGAAUGGCGCCAACCCCGUUGGCCUUUCGCAAGGCCCUAAAAACCUGGUUAUGUUCCUGAGACUUCGGUGCUGAAUCCAUCAAGGGCCCCGUUCCCUGGCUAUAUUGCUAACUAGCCAGCCUGCCCAUAUGCGGAGUUCUCUCAACGAAGAUGAUCAGGGGACUGGAGGCUAAAGCAUAUAAGGAACGGUUGCUGGAAUUGGAUAUGUCUAGUUUAAUGAAGACAAGGACGAGGAGGGACAUGAUAGCAGCGUUCCAGUAUCU